rnacentral:rRNA from 1 species
AGAGUUUGAUCCUGGCUCAGGACGAACGCUGGCGGCGUGCCUAACACAUGCAAGUCGAACGGGGUAGCAAUACCCAGUGGCGAACGGGUGCGUAACACGUGAGGAACUUGCCUAUCGGUGGGGGAUAGCCGGCCCAACGGCCGGGUAAUACCGCGUACGUUCCUCGGGGGGCAUCCCCUGGGGAGGAAAGCAGCAAUGCGCCGAUAGAGGGCCUCGCGGCCUAUCAGCUAGUUGGUGGGGUAAUGGCCCACCAAGGCGACGACGGGUAGCUGGUCUGAGAGGAUGAUCAGCCACAUUGGGACUGAGACACGGCCCAGACUCCUACGGGAGGCAGCAGUGGGGAAUAUUGCGCAAUGGGCGAAAGCCUGACGCAGCGACGCCGCGUGUGGGAUGACGGCCUUCGGGUUGUAAACCACUGUCGGGAGGGACGAAGCUCUGACGGUACCUCCAAAGGAAGCACCGGCUAACUCUGUGCCAGCAGCCGCGGUAAUACAGAGGGUGCAAGCGUUGUCCGGAAUCACUGGGCGUAAAGGGCGCGUAGGCGGCCUGAUAAGUCGGGGGUGAAACGCUGCGGCUCAACCGCAGCACUGCCUUCGAGACUGUUGGGCUUGAGCACGGUAGAGGCUGGUGGAAUUCCCGGUGUAGCGGUGGAAUGCGUAGAGAUCGGGAAGAACAUCGGUGGCGAAGGCGGCCAGCUGGGCCGUUGCUGACGCUGAGGCGCGACAGCGUGGGGAGCAAACAGGAUUAGAUACCCUGGUAGUCCACGCCGUAAACGAUGGGUACUAGGCGUCGGGGGGAGCGACCCUCUCGGUGCCGUCGCUAACGCAGUAAGUACCCCGCCUGGGGAGUACGGUCGCAAGACUGAAACUCAAAGGAAUUGACGG